UACAGAGGGUGCGAGCGUUAAUCGGAAUUACUGGGCGUAAAGCGCACGUAGGUGGUUUUGUAAGUCGGGUGUGAAAGCCCCGGGCUCAACCUGGGAACUGCAUUCGAGACUGCAUUACUCGAGUAUGGGAGAGGGCAGCGGAAUUUCCGGUGUAGCGGUGAAAUGCGUAGAUAUCGGAAGGAACAUCAGUGGCGAAAGCGGCUGCCUGGCCCAAUACUGACACUCAAGUGCGAAAGCGUGGGGAGCAAACAGG
rnacentral:rRNA from 1 species